GACGAACGCUGGCGGCGUGCUUAACACAUGCAAGUGGAGCGACGAACCAGGCUUCGGCCUGGGGCAGAGCCGCGAACGGGUGAGUAACACGUGGGUAACCUGCCCUGAUGAUCGGGACAACCCGGGGAAACCCGGGCUAAUACCGAAUGUGCCCGCGAGCCGCAAGGCUUGCGAGGAAAGGAAGCUUCGGCCUCCGCAUCGGGAUGGGCCCGCGGCCCAUUAGCUUGUUGGUGGGGUAACGGCCUACCAAGGCAGCAAUGGGUAGCUGGUCUGAGAGGACGAUCAGCCACACUGGGACUGAGACACGGCCCAGACUCCUACGGGAGGCAGCAGUGGGGAAUCUUGCGCAAUGCGCGAAAGCGUGACGCAGCAACGCCGCGUGGGGAAGACGGCC
rnacentral:rRNA from 1 species